rnacentral:rRNA from 1 species
AAUUACCCACUCCCAGCACGGGGAGGUAGUGACGAAAAAUAACGAUACGGGACUCAUCCGAGGCCCCGUAAUCGGAAUGAGUACACUUUAAAACUUUUCCCGAGGAUCAAUUGGAGGGUAAGUCUGGUGCCAGCAGCCGCGGUAAUUCCAGCUCCAAUAGCGUAUAUUAAAGUUGUUGCGGUUAAAAAGCUCGUAGUCGAAUCUGUGUCCCGCGCCGCUGGUUCAUCGCUCGCGGUGUUCAACUGGCGUGUCUCGCGGGACGUCCUGCCGGUGGGCGCUCGUAUCGUUUCGGCGGUGCGUGGCCCAACUCGUAGCCGUCUCGCGCGGUUGCGAAUCCCAUCGCGGUGCUCUUUAUUGAGUGUCGAGGUGGGCCGGCACGUUUACUUUGAACAAAUUAGAGUGCUUAAAGCAGGCCAAAUUUGCCUGAAUAUUGUGUGCAUGGAAUAAUGGAAUAGGACCUCGGUUCUAUUUUGUUGGUUUUCGGAACCCCGAGGUAAUGAUUAAUAGGAACGGAUGGGGGCAUUCGUAUUGCGACGUUAGAGGUGAAAUUCUUGGAUCGUCGCAAGACGGACAGAAGCGAAAGCAUUUGCCAAAAACGCUUUCAUUGAUCAAGAACGAAAGUUAGAGGUUCGAAGGCGAUCAGAUACCGCCCUAGUUCUAACCAUAAACGAUGCCAGCUAGCGAUCCGCCGACGUUCCUCCGAUGACUCGGCGGGCAGCUUCCGGGAAACCAAAGCUUUUGGGUUCCGGGGGAAGUAUGGUUGCAAAGCUGAAACUUAAAGGAAUUGACGGAAGGGCACCACCAGGAGUGGAGCCUGCGGCUUAAUUUGACUCAACACGGGACACCUCACCAGGCCCGGACACCGGAAGGAUUGACAGAUUGAGAGCUCUUUCUUGAUUCGGUGGGUGGUGGUGCAUGGCCGUU